rnacentral:rRNA from 1 species
CACGUAGGGGGCGAGCGUUGUUCGGAAUUACUGGGCGUAAAGGGCAUGUAGGCGGCUCUGUAAGCCUGGCGUGAAAGUCACCGGCUCAACCGGUGGAUUGCGCUGGGAACUGCGGGGCUUGAAUCAUGGAGAGGGAGCUAGAAUUCCAGGUGUAGGGGUGAAAUCUGUAGAGAUCUGGAAGAAUACCAGUGGCGAAGGCGAGCUCCUGGCCAAUGAUUGACGCUGAGGUGCGAAAGUGUGGGGAUCAAACAGGAUUAGAUACCCUGGUAGUCCACACUGUAAACGAUGUGCACUAGGUGCUGGGGCGGAUGCUUCAGUGCCGGAGCUAACGCGGUAAGUGCACCGCCUGGGGAGUAUGCUCGCAAGGGUGAA